AGAGUUUGAUCCUGGCUCAGGACGAACGCUGGCGGCGUGCCUAACACAUGCAAGUCGAGCGGGGAGAGAUUUUCGGAUUUCUCUUUAGCGGCGGACGGGUGAGUAACACGUGGGUAACCUGCCUCAAAGUGGGGGAUAGCCUUCCGAAAGGAAGAUUAAUACCGCAUAAUAUCAGAGCGCUGCAUGGCGCUGUGAUUAAAGGAGCAAUCCGCUUUGAGAUGGACCCGCGGCGCAUUAGCUAGUUGGUGAGGUAACGGCCCACCAAGGCGACGAUGCGUAGCCGACCUGAGAGGGUGAUCGGCCACAUUGGAACUGAGACACGGUCCAGACUCCUACGGGAGGCAGCAGUGGGGAAUAUUGCACAAUGGGGGAAACCCUGAUGCAGCAACGCCGCGUGAGUGAUGAAGGCCUUCGGGUCGUAAAGCUCUUUGAUCAGGGACGAUAAUGACGGUACCUGAAAAACAAGCCACGGCUAACUACGUGCCAGCAGCCGCGGUAAUACGUAGGUGGCGAGCGUUGUCCGGAUUUACUGGGCGUAAAGAAUGCGUAGGUGGAUAUUUAAGUGGGAUGUGAAAUCCCCGGGCUCAACCCGGGAACUGCAUACCAAACUGGAUAUCUGGAGUGCAGGAGAGGAAAGCGGAAUUCCUAGUGUAGCGGUGAAAUGCGUAGAUAUUAGGAGGAACACCAGUGGCGAAGGCGGCUUUCUGGACUGUAACUGACACUGAGGCAUGAAAGCGUGGGGAGCAAACAGGAUUAGAUACCCUGGUAGUCCACGCCGUAAACUAUGGGUACUAGGUGUAGGGGGUAUCGACUCCCCCUGUGCCGUCGUUAACACAAUAAGUACCCCGCCUGGGGAGUACGGUCGCAAGACUAAAACUCAAAGGAAUUGACGG
rnacentral:rRNA from 1 species